GCACCAUCUCUUACUUGAUA
rnacentral:tRNA from 1 species